GAUUAACGCUGGCGGCGUGCCUAACACAUGCAAGUCGAGCGGCAGCGAGUGUGUCACUGAAUUCUGGAAGCUUCUAGUGGUAAGAGAAGAUUUAGUGAAGAAUUUUGUGUGAAUAGUCGGCUAGCUGCGGACGGCUGAGUAACGCGUGGGAACGUAUGUCAUAGUGAGGGAUAACGCAUCGAAAGGGUGGCUUUGUUCGCAUAUGGGUGUGGUUGUAAAGCCUUCGGGCGCGUUGGGAACGGCCUGCGUAAGAUUAGAUAGUUGGUGGGGUAAUGGCCUACCAAGUCGACGAUCUUUAACUGGUUUGAGAGGAUGAUCAGUCAGACUGGAACUGACACACGGUCCACACACCUACGGGAGGCAGCAGUGAGGAAUCUUCCACAAUGGGCGAACACCUGAUGGAGCAACGCCGCGUGCAGGAUGAAGGCCUUCGGGUUAAAAAAUGCUUUUAUAAGUGAGGAUUAUGACAGUAACUUAUGAAUAAGGAUCGGCUAACUACGUG
rnacentral:rRNA from 1 species